AUGGACUGGAUUUGGAUCAUGCUGUAUCUGCUGGCAGCAGCUACUAGUAUCCACUCCCAGGUUCAUCUCCAACAACCUAGUUCUGAACUAAAGAGUCCUGGAUCUUCAGUAAAGCUGUCAUGCAAGGAUUUUGACUCAAAUGUCUUUCCUAUUGCUUAUAUGAGUUGGGUAAGACAGAAGCCUGGGCAUGGGUUUGAAUGGAUUGGAGACAUACUCCCAAGUAUUGGUAGAACAAUCUAUGGAGAGAAGUUUGAGAACAGAGCCACACUGGAUGCAGACACAUCCUUCAACACUGCCUACUUGGAGCUCAGCAGUCUGACAUCUGAGGACUCUGCAGUCUAUUACUGUGCAAGGCACAGUGUAACAGCUAAUAUCUAG